rnacentral:rRNA from 1 species
AACCGGCAGACCAGGUCAUUUAUAACGGUAAAAUAGUAAAGGAAAUUUUAUUAUGCUUUCAAAACAGUAUUAUGAAGUGAAAUUCGAAUAUUUUUUAAAACCUUAAAAGCUCUGUCCGAAGCUAUGAAACCCUUGAGGGAAACUGGGAUUAGAUACCCCAUUAUUCCUGGGUAUAAAUAUUUUACCAGGGUACUACGAACAAUGUUUAAAACUCAAAGAGCUUGGCGGUGUUUUAGACCUCCCAGGGGAACCUGUCCCGUAAUCGAUGAUCCGCGUUAUACCUGACCUCACUUAUUUCGCUUGUAUACCGUCGUCUAGGUAACUUCCAAAAAGAAAAAAGUUAACUGGCAACAGAUAAGUGUUUGAUGUCAGAUCAAGGUGCAGCCUAUAGUGAGGGGAGGAUGGGUUACAAUUACUAACCAUAAAUACGAAUAAGAUUAAUUGAAAAAUCUCUUUUAAGGCGGACUUGGAAGUAAAAGCAUUAAGAUAAAUGCUUUGAACAAGGCUCUGAAAUGUGU